rnacentral:tRNA from 1 species
AAAGGGAGACCUAAUUCAGGUAGGAGACGAAAAAAAAGUAGUCGCUACCAAGAAUCAAUCCCAAAAGGUCGGAGCGAGGCGAAAUUGGCUUUCAAACUAGGUUCUGGGUUCAAACAAGACCUGAAUCAGGAACAAGGGCUAUUAGCUCAGGUGGUUAGAGCGCACCCCUGAUAAGGGUGAGGUCCCUGGUUCGAGUCCAGGAUGGCCCACCUGCACAGGUGGCAAAAACAAGAGAAGCGAGGAAUCAGCACCUUAUCUUACUGACAUAGUAAGAGAGAAUGCUGGCUCUGAGUAAAGAGUCCAGAGGAACCUUGAAAACUGCAUAGAGCUAGGUGAAAAAGCCAAAAAAGAAGACCGCAAGGUCAAGCUAAUAAGGGCUAACGGU